AAAAAAGGAAAUCCAGAGGCUAAUAGCCACAAGAAACAAGGACUCUGCUAAUACCAAACCUUUCCCUGAAGAUAAAUCAUGGACUCAAGCACAAACCUCCCACUCUGAAGAAAUCUUUUGAUUUGUAUAAAGUAGGAGUGGGUGAACGUAUUUUCUAGUAUUAUCCCCUAUGUCUGCACACGAUGAGCAGCAGGCAAAGGAAAUGGGUAAGGUGGCAGUGUCUUUACCAGGGCUUGGCAGCAGAAUGGAACAAACUGAUGAACAACCCAUUGAAAAUCUUUAUAGCUGGCUUGUGAAACUUCACACUGCUCCAACAGCUGUGUGAGAGGCAGGCUGUGCAGAAAAAUGCCCACCCACACUUUAUGCUGCUAGCAAGUCACAUUUGUUGCAGUAUUGAUGGUGACAGACUGAACCAAGUUGCCAAGUAAGUUGAGUUCUGUUUUUUUUUUCUAAUAAUAAGUACUAAGUUCUGUUUGUGAUGUUUCCCACAUUAAGGAUGUGGAGUGGUUAUAUUCAUGUUUAAUAAUGCCAUCUCAGCUGAAUGUAACUGUGGAAUGUCACAACAGUAAGCUCUCUUAGUCCUGCAUAAACACAUUUGUGUGCAGGAAAAUUUAGAGAACUCUGCUUAAAAUAAGAGGUUGAAAAAAAAUAAUCCAUCUGGAGAAAGAUUAAAGGUUGGAGUGAGGUACCCUCUCUCUCUCCCUCUUCUGGCAUUUGAGCUCAAAUAAACAUUUGUCUGAGUCUGCAGAUAACCUGAAAUGGUGGCUGAGGAGCACAGACCUCUCUAUCAAGUCACAUCGGAGCAGGCAGUGCCUGAGGUGGCUGUGGUAGCACAGGAGAUGUAUGGGACAGGGGGAUGCUGCUACUGCCCAGCAGAGCCCCGCCAGCCAUCGUGUUGUCACCUACUCUAGGGAACCUACUUUAACAGAGGGGUUGAACUACAUGAUCUCCAGAGAUCCCUUCCAGCCCCUACAAUUAUGUGACUCCUGCUCUUUCUUCACAGCCUUCUCCCUCUCCCCUUCCCCAUCAGCAGGUGCUCAAGGCACUUCCCACAGCCAAAGAGUAUGGGAAGGCCACCCAUGGGGUUUGCUACCUUGCGCAUCUCCCUGCCCACCCCACUCCUGGCACACCCCCAAUGAUAGGAAGCAGCUUGUCCUGCUGUGCUGUGUGGUUCAUUAAAGCAGUCUUCACAAAAAGAAAGAUGUUUGAGAGCAAACUUAUUGCUCAUGCAAGGUCAUUCACUGCAUCUUCUCUGGAGGCAGGAAAUGUUCCUAUCCUACUGGAGGAGAAGCAACAAAUCUCCCGUGUGGUGACCGCACCUGCCUUCUAAACCUGAGACUAAAGCUCUCUUAGGAGCUUUAUCCAUCAGAAUACACAACGCCUCUAUAAAAUACAGAGGGAAAAAUGUGGGCAGACAGAAGACCCAGAUUAUCUAUAAUAAUAUAAAUUAUGUCAUCUGUGACCUUUAUAGCAGCAGCCUUGUUGUAGGCAGCAUUAAUGUACAGAAGCCGCACUAAGAAAAUUUUGUUUCCCUUUCUGGUUUUUUUGUAGAACUAGAUAUAGAUGAUAGUUUUGAGCUGUAGAUUGGAUCACUAUAAAUAUCUGGCAUAACUUUAGCAAGAUAGAUUAUGUCAAGAAUGUAACGAAUAUUUUUUUUAGAAUUUAAAAGAGGAUGUGAUGUUAAAAUACUCUUUCCGAGUACAGAAGCUCUGUGGGAUUUGCAUGAUCUCUUAUCCACAAAGAGAAACUACCCAGUUUUGGGCCUUACCUGGAACAACGCAAAAAAAUUAUAGCUGAGAACAAGAUGAAAUUGAAGGAACAAGGCACAGCUGCUGUGCUUCCUGAAAAAAAGCAUUUCAUUCCAAAGAAGCCCAUUCCGGCAAUCAAGGUA